CCGGGGACGAGGAGCUGGCAUCAGGCACACCAGAUGGCCCAAGACGCCUUGCUCAGCCACACCCCCAAGGAAUUCAGCAGUAAUAAACAUUAAGCCAUAAGUGAAAACUUGACUUAGUUAGGGUUAAGAGGGCCGGUAAAAUUCGUGCCAGCCACCGCGGUUAUACGAAAGACCCUAGUUUAUAGGCACGGCGUAAAGGGUGGUUAUGGGACAGACAAAAUAAAGCUAAAGACCCCCAGAGCCGUCAUACGCCCACGGGGGCGCGAAACCCAAAUACGAAAGUAGCUUUACCAAACAUGCCCGACCCCACGAAAGCUGAGAAACAAACUGGGAUUAGAUACCCCACUAUGCCCAGCCUUAAACCUAGAUGAAAACUUACAAAACCAUCCGCCCGGGGACUACAAGCACAGCUUAAAACCCAAAGGACUUGGCGGUGCCUCAGACCCACCUAGAGGAGCCUGUUCUAGAACCGAUAACCCCCGUUAAACCUCACCACCUCUUGUUUUCCCCGCCUAUAUACCGCCGUCGUCAGCUUACCCUGUGAAGGUCCAACAGUAAGCAAAAUGGGCCCAACCCAAAACGUC
rnacentral:rRNA from 1 species